rnacentral:rRNA from 1 species
GCUUUCCCUCCAGAGUGGAUCCUGAGUACGGCGGAACACGUGAAAUUCCGUCGGAAUCCGGGAGGACCAUCUCCCAAGGCUAAAUACUCCCUAGUGACCGAUAGUGAACCAGUACCGUGAGGGAAAGGUGAAAAGCACCCCGGAAGGGGAGUGAAACAGUUCCUGAAACCGUGUGCCUACAAGUAGUUAGAGCCCGUUAAUGGGUGAUAGCGUGCCUUUUGUAGAAUGAACCGGCGAGUUACGAUUUGUUGCAAGGUUAAGCGGAAAAAGCGGAGCCGUAGCGAAAGCGAGUCUGAAUAGGGCGCAUAAGUAACAGGUCGUAGACCCGAAACCAGGUGAUCUACCCAUGUCCAGGAUGAAGGUAAGGUAAUACUUACUGGAGGUCCGAACCCACGCACGUUGAAAAGUGCGGGGAUGAGGUGUGGGUAGCGGAGAAAUUCCAAUCGAACUUGGAGAUAGCUGGUUCUCUCCGAAAUAGCUUUAGGGCUAGCCUCGAGGUAAAGAGUCAUGGAGGUAGAGCACUGUUUGGACUAGGGGCCCUUCUCGGGUUACCGAAUUCAGAUAAACUCCGAAUGCCAUGUACUUAUACUCGGGAGUCAGACUGCGAGUGAUAAGAUCCGUAGUCGAAAGGGAAACAGCCCAGACCACCAGUUAAGGUCCCCAAAUAUAUGUUAAGUGGAAAAGGAUGUGGGGUUGCUUAGACAACCAGGAUGUUGGCUUAGAAGCAGCCACCAUUGAAAGAGUGCGUAAUAGCUCACUGGUCGAGUGACCCCGCGCCGAAAAUGUACCGGGGCUAAACAUAUUACCGAAACUGUGGAUGAACCUCUUUAGAGGUUCGUGGUAGGAGAGCGUUCUAAGGGCGGUGAAGUCAGACCGGAAGGACUGGUGGAGCGCUUAGAAGUGAGAAUGCCGGUAUGAGUAGCGAAAGAAGGGUGAGAAUCCCUUCCACCGAAUAUCUAAGGUUUCCUGAGGAAGGCUCGUCCGCUCAGGGUUAGUCGGGACCUAAGCCGAGGCCGAUAGGCGUAGGCGAUGGACAACAGGUAGAGAUUCCUGUAC